rnacentral:misc_RNA from 1 species
GAUGAAGAACGUAGCGAAAUGCGAUAAGUAGUGUGAAUUGCAGAAUUCAGUGAAUCAUCGAAUCUUUGAACGCACAUUGCGCCCCCUGGUAUUCCGGGGGGCAUGCCUGUCCGAGCGUCAUUGCUGCCCUCAAGCACGGCUUGUGUGUUGGGCCCCGUCCUCCGAUCCCGGGGGACGGGCCCGAAAGGCAGCGGCGGCACCGCGUCCGGUCCUCGAGCGUAUGGGGCUUUGUCACCCGCUCUGUAGGCCCGGCCGGCGCUUGCCGAUCAACCCAAAUUUUUUAUCCAGGUUGACCUCGGAUCAGGUAGGGAUGCCCGCUGAACUUAAGCAUAUCAAUAAGCGGAGGA